rnacentral:rRNA from 1 species
GCAAGUCGUACGGAGGCUUCGGCCUCAGUGGCGCACGGGUGCGUAACGCGUAUGCAACUUACCCUCUACUGGGGAAUAACUCGGGGAAACUCGGGCUAAUACCGCGUAAAAAGCUGGUUGGCAUCAAUCGGUUUUAAAAGCUUCGGCGGUAGGGGCUAGGCAUGCGUGCCAUUAGCUAGAUGGGGAGGUAGUGGCUCACCAUGGCGACGAUGGCUAGGGGUUCUGAGAGGAAGGUCCCCCACACUGGUACUGAGAUACGGACCAGACUCCUACGGGAGGCAGCAGUAAGGAAUAUUGGGCAAUGGACGGAAGUCUGACCCAGCCAUGCCGCGUGUCGGAAGAAUCCCCUCUGGGGUGUAAACGACUUUUAUCGGGGAAGAAUGAGUUCUUGCGAGGACAAAUGACGGUACCCGAGGAAUAAGCACCGGCUAACUACGUGCCAGCAGCCGCGGUAAUACGUAGGGUGCAAGCGUUGUCCGGAUUUAUUGGGUUUAAAGGGUGCGUAGGCGGCUUUUUAAGUCGUGGGUGAAAUGCCAACGCUCAACGUUGGAAAUGCCUGCGAUACUGGGGA